GGGUUGUGAGGUUAAGCGACUAAGCGUACACGGUGGAUGCCCUGGCAGUCAGAGGCGAUGAAGGACGUGCUAAUCUGCGAUAAGCGUCGGUAAGGUGAUAUGAACCGUUAUAACCGGCGAUUUCCGAAUGGGGAAACCCAGUGUGUUUCGACACACUAUCAUUAACUGAAUCCAUAGGUUAAUGAGGCGAACCGGGGGAACUGAAACAUCUAAGUACCCCGAGGAAAAGAAAUCAACCGAGAUUCCCCCAGUAGCGGCGAGCGAACGGGGAGCAGCCCAGAGCCUGAAUCAGUGUGUGUGUUAGUGGAAGCGUCUGGAAAGGCGUGCGAUACAGGGUGACAGCCCCGUACACAAAAAUGCACAUGCUGUGAGCUCGAUGAGUAGGGCGGGACACGUGGUAUCCUGUCUGAAUAUGGGGGGACCAUCCUCCAAGGCUAAAUACUCCUGACUGACCGAUAGUGAACCAGUACCGUGAGGGAAAGGCGAAAAGAACCCCGGCGAGGGGAGUGAAAAAGAACCUGAAACCGUGUACGUACAAGCAGUGGGAGCACGCUUAGGCGUGUGACUGCGUACCUUUUGUAUAAUGGGUCAGCGACUUAUAUUCUGUAGCAAGGUUAACCGAAUAGGGGAGCCGAAGGGAAACCGAGUCUUAACUGGGCGUUAAGUUGCAGGGUAUAGACCCGAAACCCGGUGAUCUAGCCAUGGGCAGGUUGAAGGUUGGGUAACACUAACUGGAGGACCGAACCGACUAAUGUUGAAAAAUUAGCGGAUGACUUGUGGCUGGGGGUGAAAGGCCAAUCAAACCGGGAGAUAGCUGGUUCUCCCCGAAAGCUAUUUAGGUAGCGCCUCGUGAAUUCAUCUCCGGGGGUAGAGCACUGUUUCGGCAAGGGGGUCAUCCCGACUUACCAACCCGAUGCAAACUGCGAAUACCGGAGAAUGUUAUCACGGGAGACACACGGCGGGUGCUAACGUCCGUCGUGAAGAGGGAAACAACCCAGACCGCCAGCUAAGGUCCCAAAGUCAUGGUUAAGUGGGAAACGAUGUGGGAAGGCCCAGACAGCCAGGAUGUUGGCUUAGAAGCAGCCAUCAUUUAAAGAAAGCGUAAUAGCUCACUGGUCGAGUCGGCCUGCGCGGAAGAUG
rnacentral:rRNA from 1 species